CUUCAUUUCAGUUUACAAUCAAGGAAAAUUUGUCAUUCUUUUGGUAGAAAUCAAGAUUCCAAACAUUGAUAAUUUUUUUAUGUGUGUGUGUUUUUCUGAGUUAUUGUGCUUGCCUCUUGUCAUUUACAAUUCUGGAUAUAUGGCAGAUUCCAGAAAAUUAUAGAUUUAGUUUUGGAAAAUUGCCCUUAGUUUCUUUUGAUAGAGGGGUGAGGCAAACUUGAGGUACAAGUUUUAGUGAUCACCAUACUUUACCUGCCCUUUCAAACUGAGGAAUUCAGGAAUUGUACAUGACGCUGUCUGUAGCAGACUUUUUGUUCUAAACCUCAUGCCAUUAAAAUUCAGAACAAUCAUGUCAUCUCCAAAGAGAAAUGAUUUAUAUCUCUUGUUUCUUCAUUUGCUUAGAUAACCAUGAUUUGGACAGGCUAUGUCAUUAUACUGUGCAAUUUGUGGGUUGUCUCAAAAACUGCCUUUUCAUAAUGUACAAAGUACCUGUUGUAAAUGAAUUCAACAUGAAGCAACUCUGAUUUUUCUACAAAGGACAUAAUGUGAUCAGAUAGUGUAUUAUAGAUUUUUUAACACACCCUUCACUGAUUUAUAUUGCAUUUAACAAUUUAAAUUAUAUAAUUCCAUCUAUGGCCAACUCAUUAGUGCUCUUUGAGUAGGAAAGGUGCUCACAUUUAUUUUCUACUCUCUGACUUUUUCACUAUUCAGAAGGUAGAUUGAAGAAUAUAUACUUGGUUAAUGUGUAUAUUGCUGAGAGUCCUGGCCUACCGAUAUUAAGAACCUCUUGUCAUGCAGUCAGGAACUAGGAGUAUCAGGAAUUAUUAUUUUUAAAGUCUCUGGGCAUCUGAAGUGGUGCCUGCUACCUUUGUAGCAUGGUGACAACUGUACAUAUUCACUGAACACCAGAAUCUUUGUCAGGCUGACACUUGUGGCUUGUUAGGUGAGAUUUAUUAUUUCAGAUUCAACAAAUUACAGUUUGAGCGGUGUACGGUGAUUUUUGUCAUAUUCUUUCCCCUCGUCUUUUCAUAAUGCACAAGAUACAGGUCAAUGAUAAUGAUAAUUGAAAGGAACAGAGAAAGAACAAACAAAAAUGGCCCUUGUUGGCAGAACAGAGUAUACAGGACUGUUAAGACAAAUGGGGGGCCGGGUCGAAGCGCUCUACUUUGUAUCCUUAGUGUGACUUUGAAUGAACCUAAAAACUCAUGUGAAACAAAAGACCACUUAGAGUAACAUUUCUAAUGACAGCAGAUGUCUGAUAUUCUUGAGCAUGGUCAUCCAAUUAAAAGCUGAUGAUCCCCAGAGCAAAACCCAACCCAUUAAUAAGUUCCUGUUAAGGGGCAGGAUUGGUUGUGUGAGUUGAUGUGGUUACAUAAUGCAGCGUAGACCCAUGUUUUGUAUUGUUUUCCCCCCUCAGGGUGACAGCUACAAAUAAGGCUUAAUGGAAAUUCUUUGCUUUCUUAAUAAGGACCCUAAAUACUGAUAAAAAUUACAUAAAGUCUCAAAAAAGGUGACAGGUAUUAUUUUUACCUGAAAUAAGGAAAGGCCAAGGGUAUGAUGGGUUUGAGUUUUUGAGGUCUUUUAAACCACUAAAGGGAGGUAUCCAUAGCAAAUUGUUUUUCUUUUUUGCUCUUUUUAGUUAUAU
rnacentral:lncRNA from 1 species